UACGUAGGGUGCAAGCGUUGUCCGGAAUUAUUGGGCGUAAAGAGCUCGUAGGCGGCUCGUCGCGUCGGCUGUGAAAACCUGGGGCUCAACCCCCGGGCCUGCAGCCGAUACGGGCGAGCUAGAAUUCGGUAGGGGAGACUGGAAUUCCUGGUGUAGCGGUGGAAUGCGCAGAUAUCAGGAGGAACACCCGAUGGCGAAGGCAGAUCUCUGG
rnacentral:rRNA from 1 species